UGCUUCCUUCUCUGCCGUUUUCUAAUUCUAAGGUUACAAAGUUCCCUUUCAAACUUUCUAAGAAGCAUGGUCUUAAUAGAGAAACAUUGUGCCACUGCACCACCACCACACCACCUUGUCACUGCAAGAGCAUGUUGCUUCCUCCUCUUAUGUUCUUUUAUUCUAGGAUUACAAAGUUUUCCUUUCAUACUUGUCAGCAGCCGCGUGGUCUUGACAGAGAGACAUCGCGCCACCACACAAUCUCGCCGCCCCAAGUCUGCAUUUCCGUAGAUCUGCUAUUCGCACCACCACAUAUCCAUGUUACUUCACUUUGUUUCUUUUUAUUGUGGAUGGGUGCUUUAGAAUUUUAAUUAAUACCUCUAUCUGGAGCUUCCUAUAAUUAAAAUGCGUGUUUAUAUAUGGCAAUGUUUUUAUAUGUUUUUUUGUAUUUAGUGAAUAAUCUUUAUAUUGAAAUAGCUCAGAUUAUUUUUAUGCUGGAUUGGUUCAUUCGCAGAGAAAGAUAGAGAGCUUGGGUUGGGGAUGCUUUUGCGGAAAUCAAGUCUCAAAGAAAGAAGGGUCAAAGAGGUUAUUUAGCAUUUGCAAAUGAAAAAAUUGAAAAAGAAAAGUGGUAUAGGGAAAGAAAAGUGGUAUAGGAAGUGUUAGUAAUUCAUCUCCAAUUCCACCAAUUAACAUUCUCUCUUCAUUUCACACUCAAAGUCUAUGAGGGCAAGGGACAAAAGCUCCUUCACAACCAUAAAGACAUGAAACAAAUUUGGUUACAACAAAUUUGUAAAUUUUAUUAUAAGAAAUUAACUUGUAAG